CCCUGGUUAGCUCAGUUAGUAGAGCGCUCCCCUCGCAAGGGAGAGGUCCCUGGUUCGACACCAGGACCAGGGA
rnacentral:tRNA from 1 species